AACACCGGUUCUCGUCCGAUCACCGAUGUUAAGCAACGUUGAGUCUCCUCAGUACCUAGAUGGGUGACCACUUGAGAAUAUCAGGUGCUGA